GGGGUUGUGGCUCAGAGGUAAAGCACUCGCCCACCACGUGUGAGGCACUGGGUUCCACCCUCAGCACCACA
rnacentral:tRNA from 1 species